rnacentral:rRNA from 1 species
AACGAACGCUGGCGGCAGGCUUAACACAUGCAAGUCGAACGCCCCGCAAGGGGAGUGGCAGACGGGUGAGUAACGCGUGGGAACAUACCCUUUCCUGCGGAAUAGCUCCGGGAAACUGGAAUUAAUACCGCAUACGCCCUACGGGGGAAAGAUUUAUCGGGGAAGGAUUGGCCCGCGUUGGAUUAGCUAGUUGGUGGGGUAAAGGCCUACCAAGGCGACGAUCCAUAGCUGGUCUGAGAGGAUGAUCAGCCACAUUGGGACUGAGACACGGCCCAAACUCCUACGGGAGGCAGCAGUGGGGAAUAGUGGACAAUGGGCGCAAGCCUGAUCCAGCCAUGCCGCGUGAGUGAUGAAGGCCUUAGGGUUGUAAAGCUCUUUCACCGAUGAAGAUAAUGACGGUAGUCGGAGAAGAAGCCCCGGCUAACUUCGUG